AAGGCAGUGGCACAGACAGGGAGCUGAAGGUGGCUGAUUCCCCUGCCUGCCACUGCCACCU
rnacentral:pre_miRNA from 1 species